AAAAUCUCAAGGAGCUGCCCUGUACUUGAGGCUACCUGUCCAGCAGGAACCAGGUUACCUGGAAGCAACUUAGCCCAGGAGCACAGGACAGCAGAGUGUGGAUGCAAGAAUCCAUUGCAGCAGACAUCAAGCUCCGGCCUGGACAGUGACCUUCCCUGCCUUGCAGUGCCUGAGGGACCCUAAUAAGCCUAGCCCAGACACAGCCUGGUCCCAAUUAAAUCUCCACCCAGCCAUCUAGGAGGCGUAUGCCAGGGCAUGGAGACAGACUCCAGGCACCAUGGCUGCCAUUCCAAAGGGGAGGGACAUGAGUAAAUGAGCCACAUGCUGUCAUCCCCUGAGAAGAAUGAAGAGACCGAAGUGGCAGGGCCUGGAGACUGCAUUUGAAAGAUCAGGGAGGCACGUACAACUCGGGCCUAACAAAUGCCAAGGAAUCUUCAAACAUUCCAAGGCCGUCCCUAAGUGUCCUUCUUGGACCUGGUAGCAGCCUUCAUCCCAGCUAUAUAUACACAUCCAGUGUCCCUCCCCCUGGAGGAGGAAGGAGGACAUUAAACUACAGGUUAGUGUUGAUCUGAGGAGGCCGUAGUGAGGCUUGUGGGUGCCACUGUCUAAAGAUACACUUCACGUGACUGCAGUAAAUGCAGUGUCUAGAAGCUGGGCCAGCUGGUGCCUUAUAGUGCCGGUGAUACC
rnacentral:lncRNA from 1 species